AGGGAAUCUUCGGCAAUGGACGGAAGUCUGACCGAGCAACGCCGCGUGAGUGAAGAAGGUUUUCGGAUCGUAAAGCUCUGUUGUAAGAGAAGAACGAGUGUGAGAGUGGAAAGUUCACACUGUGACGGUAUCUUACCAGAAAGGGACGGCUAACUACGUGCCAGCAGUCGCGGUAAUACGUAGGUCCCGAGCGUUGUCCGGAUUUAUUGGGCGUAAAGCGAGCGCAGGCGGUUAGAUAAGUCUGAAGUUAAAGGCUGUGGCUUAACCAUAGUACGCUUUGGGAACUGUUUAACUUGAGUGCAAGAGGGGAGAGUGGAAUUCCAUGUGUAGCGGUGAAAUGCGUAGAUAUAUGGAGGAACACCGGUGGCGAAAGCGGCUCUCUGGCUUGUAACUGACGCUGAGGCUCGAAAGCGUGGGGAGCAAACAGGAUUAGAUACCCUGGUAGUCCACGCCGUAAACGAUGAGUGCUAGGUGUUAGACCCUUUCCGGGGUUUAGUGCCGCAGCUAACGCAUUAAGCACUCCGCCUGGGGAGUACGACCGCAAGGUUG
rnacentral:rRNA from 1 species